rnacentral:rRNA from 1 species
UACGAAGGGGGCUAGCGUUGUUCGGAAUUACUGGGCGUAAAGCGUGCGCAGGCGGCUUCUCAAGUCAGGGGUGAAAGCCCAGAGCUCAACUCUGGAAUUGCCUUUUGAGACUGAGUGGCUUGAGUACGAGAGAGGUGAGUGGAAUUCCCAGUGUAGAGGUGAAAUUCGUAGAUAUUGGGAAGAACACCGGUGGCGAAGGCGGCUCACUGGCUCGUAACUGACGCUCAUGCACGACAGCGUGGGGAUCAAACAGG